AUUGAACGCUGGCGGCAUGCCUUACACAUGCAAGUCGAACGGUAACGCGGGGCAACCUGGCGACGAGUGGCGAACGGGUGAGUAAUGCAUCGGAACGUGCCCAGAAGUGGGGGAUAGCCCGGCGAAAGCCGGAUUAAUACCGCAUGAGACCUGAGGGUGAAAGCGGGGGAUCGCAAGACCUCGCGCUUUUGGAGCGGCCGAUGUCAGAUUAGCUAGUUGGUGGGGUAAAGGCCUACCAAGGCGACGAUCUGUAGCUGGUCUGAGAGGACGACCAGCCACACUGGGACUGAGACACGGCCCAGACUCCUACGGGAGGCAGCAGUGGGGAAUUUUGGACAAUGGGCGCAAGCCUGAUCCAGCCAUGCCGCGGGCGGGAAGGAGGCCUUCGGGUUGUAAACCGCUUUUGUCAGGGAAGAAACGCUCUGGGCUAAUACCCUGGGGUAAUGACGGUACCUGAAGAAUAAGCACCGGCUAACUACGUGCCAGCCGCCGCCGUAA
rnacentral:rRNA from 1 species